UUCCGUGAGUACAGACCAAUCGAAACCUUUGACGUAGAGUGACGUAACUGGAGAAGCUGUACUACUUCCGCGUUUGCUUUCUCAGCUGAACCUUGAAACCAGCAGACUCCCAAAUUAACAAUGCACCCACCCAGGGAUGGAAUUUACAUGAAGAGGAAAAAGCAGUGGUGGUCUCCAGUCUAAAACUUGCCUUCCUCACCCAACUGUCCAUCACACUGCCAACAUGCUGUGUUGGGGUAAUGCAAAAGAUGGACAGUUGGGUAUUGGUCCGGACAACAACCCUGUCUUUGAGCCGAGGAGCUGUCAUGUGUUCAGUGGAAGGGGAUUGAAAGAAAUUGCUUGUGGAGGACAACACUCACUGUUCCUGUUGCAUGAUGGGAGUGUGUACACGUGUGGUUCUAACAGCUGUGGACAGCUGGGCCACAACAAACCAGGGAUUCACCCGGGACUGGUUGGAGCACUGGACACACAGAAAAUAACAAUGGUGUCAAGUGGCCGAGGUCAUUCCGUGGCAGUAAAUGAAGGCGGUCAAAUCUUUGCCUGGGGGGCAGGUGAAGGCGGUCAACUCGGGCUAGGGUCGACAGAGGUUGCAGUUCGAAUCCCAAGGUUGGUUAAAAGACUGUGUGAUCAUCGCAUCUCCCAGGUGAAGUGUGGAAACCAGCACUGCAUCGCACUUUCCAGAGAUGGUCAGUUGUUCACCUGGGGCCUGAACACCAGUGGUCAGCUGGGCCUGGGGAAAGGAGAGCCGAGCAAACUUUUCCCUCAGCCCCUGAAGUCUCUGGCAGGAAUCCCCUUGGCGCAAAUCACUGCUGGUGGGGACCACAGCUUUGCCCUCUCCCUGUCUGGAGCAGUGUUUGGUUGGGGCAAGAACAGAGCGGGGCAACUGGGUCUCAAUGAUAAACAAGAUCGUGCCGUUCCAUGUCUCGUCAAAUUUUUGAGAUCUCAAAAGGUUGUUUACAUCAGCUGUGGAGAUGAACAUACUGCAGCACUAACAAAGGACGGUGGUUUGUUUACAUUUGGAGACGGAUCGUGGGGUCAACUCGGUCACGGCUCCACCAAUAAUGAACUUUUACCCAGACGAGUGCUGGAGCUCAUGGGCACUGAGGUGUCUCAGAUCACCUGUGGCAGGUACCACACAUUGGCAUAUGUGCCUUCUUCGGGUGUGGUCUACGCCUUUGGCUGUAACAACUACGGUCAGCUCGGCACAGGAAUAUUCAGGGAAGCUAUAAGCCCCUUCCCUGUGAAGACCAAAUUACUGACCAUUAGUUUCAACAGAUCUGAAUUGAAACAUUUCCUUGUGACCCGAAUCAUCUGUGGAGGAGACCACAGCUUCUUACUUUACUCUAAUGAACAGAGCUCAGCUCCUCCAGAAGACUUCAGAGAGAUGAAUAUCUGUAGAAGUCUGUCUCCCAUCAACAAUGAAAGGUUAAACUCAUGGAGGUUAAAACUGAUGUACAACGCAGAUUCCAGCAUCACAAAUGACAUCAUAAUUCAGCUUUCCUCCACGGCCUGCUGGAACGGCAGCUUCCUGGACCAAAGUGAUGACAUCCACUUCAAAACCAACCCAAAGAUCCCAGGUAUUGAUCUCAACUCUGUCAGACUGCUGUUUGAGACACUCAGCAAACCUGCCUUCUCUGAUCUUCUGGAGCAGGCUACGAAGAGUUUCGAGAGUCUGCUGAUCCCGCAGUUGUCACACUCUCCUCCGGACGUGGAGGCCAUGAGGAUCUACCUCAUCUUGUCCGAGUGUCCGGCUCUGCACGAGUCCAAGAACUACAUCCGCCUCACCAUCCCUUUGGCCAUGGCCAUUCUGCGCCUGGACACCAACCCCAGCAAAGUCUUAGACAACUGGUGGUGUUUUGUGGACAGCAGUGUGUUCACCAGGAUGGUGGACAUGUACAAGAGCAUCGUGGUGUUUAUGCUGACCGGAGGAAAGACGAUCCUCGUACCAGUGUUUUAUGAGAACUAUUUACUUGCCGCUCUCAGGCUUCUGGAAAAACUCCACAAGGUUAACAUAAAGGCUCACCAUGUGGAGUACAACUGCUUUUAUAUCCCAGACGUCACCAGCCUGGUGGACAUCCAGGAAGACUACCUCAAAUGGUUUCUGCGUAAAGCUGAAACUAAAACGGAAUCAUCUCAGAGUGACUCUCCCUCAGUGAACCUAUGUGCCUACCCGUUCAUACUGAACGCCAAAGCCAAGACAACCAUGCUGCAAACGGAUGCUGAACUGCAAAUGCAGAUGGCGGUGAGUGGUGCAAACCUACACAACGUCUUCAUGCUGCUCACACUGGAGGCCCACCUGGCCAGGAACCCGUACCUGGUGCUGCACGUGCGCAGGAACCAUUUAGUGAGUGACACGCUGCGUGAGCUGACCUCGUACUCUGAUGUGGACCUGAAGAAACCGCUGAAGGUGAUCUUCGAUGAAGAGGAGGCUGUAGAUGCAGGUGGGGUGACCAAAGAGUUCUUCCUCCUGCUGUUAAAGGAGCUGAUGGAUCCGGUCUAUGGGAUGUUCACUCAUUAUAAAGAGUCCAACCUUCUGUGGUUUUCAGACAAGUGUUUUGUGGAGCAGGACUGGUUCCACCUGAUUGGCAUCAUUUGUGGUCUGGCCAUUUACAACUCCACGGUGGUCGACCUCCACUUCCCUCUGGCUCUUUACAAGAAGCUGCUCAAUGUGUCACCGAUGCUGGGCGACUUUAAGGAGCUCUCCCCCACCGAGGCCAGGAGCCUGCAGCAGCUUCUCGACUUUGAGGGAGACGACGUGGAGGAGACGUUUUUUCUCAACUUUGCUAUCACCAGGGAGAAUUAUGGUAUGACAGAAGUGAAGGAGCUGAUUCCUGGAGGAGAAGAGAUAAGUGUGGACAAAGACAACAGGCAGGACUUUGUGGACGCCUACCUGAGCUACGUGUUCUCCGACUCGGUGAGUGAACAGUAUUCCGCCUUCUCCUCCGGUUUCCUGAAAGUGUGCGGCGGUGACGUCCUGUCGCUGUUCCAGCCUUCAGAGCUGAUGGCCAUGGUGGUGGGCAACACCAACUACAACUGGGAGGAGAUGGAGAAGAAUGCUGUCUACAAAGGUGAAUACACAGCCACUCAUCCAACAGUCAGAUUGUUCUGGGAGGUUUUCCAUGAGUUUCCUCUGGAGAAGAAGAAACAGUUUCUGUUGUUCCUGACGGGCAGCGACCGCAUCCCCAUCCACGGCAUGGAGAGCCUGCGAAUCAUCAUCCAGUCCACCACGGUGGGUGAACAUUACCUGCCCGUGGCCCACACCUGCUACAACCUGCUGGACAUGCCCCGCUACCAGAGCAAAGAGAUCCUGCGCCAUCGACUGACUCAGGCUGUGGAGCAGUACGAGGGCUUCAGCCUGGUCUGAGGACGGAGAGGUUCACACCUUAACAGCAAUACACACCACACAUAUCAGUGGACACAAGCAGAGAACCCACAACCACCUGUUGUUCCACAUUCCUGUCAAACAUUUCUUUUCUGUUCCAACAUGUGUUGAAGUCCACAUCCGUCCACAUCCGUCCACAUCCGUCCACAUCCAUCACCCCUGUCUCUCCAGUUUCCUGGGUCGGACUACAGGAGGAAACUGAACGUAGUAACUACUAAACACGAUUAUAGUAACGACACAAAAAAAACUCCACAGCCCAGGGGUGAGUAAAAAUAUUAUUUCAUUUAUCAUAUAUACAAAAUACAAAUGCAAUUUAUGUACUAAAAUGUACACGCUCAAAACUGAAUAAGCUUUGCCAGUGUUUAAAUUCAGUAAAAAUGAAAUUCACACUGAUAAUCAUCCAUUUUGGAGAAAGACAAGGGGGGAAGGGGAGGGGUGGGGGGAUGAGUCCUCGCUCACAGAAAUGUAAACAUACACGGUGAUCCGUAUUUACAGAAGAAGAAAGGAAACUCCGGAAACGACAGUGAAGAAACACGGGCUGCUGGGAGAACAGUCACAGCGACCACGGCUCCGUCAUCCAGAGCGUGAAGGACGUCAGGUCUGAUCAGUGUGAGCACAAACACACCAGUGAUUCCACCACAGAUAAAAUAGCUUAUUUGACUUGAAAAGAGCAGAAACAGCUAAAAUAAAAUCAUCAUCAUAUUUACAGACGUAUUCUAAGUUCGGUACCAGGACUUUCGUCCAACAACAGAAACACUGAGUGGUUUUGGUUCGUAGUGUUUUUGUGUUUGUGGUUUUAAAUUUUUUUAAAAAUCAUUUAGUUUAGUGAGUAAAUACUCAUUAUUUUUUUCAAACUUCUCAUGAAGCAACAAACCCAACAAUAUCGUCACGAUACAAAGUGUACAAAUUCAAAAAUAAAGACGUAGGAUUAAGGAAAUACUGUCCAACUGAUCAAAGUUGUACCAACAGUAACGUCUCGUUUAGAAAAAUACACAGAACCUCCAUCAUCAAUCUAUUUAAAAAAUAGCAACAGCAAAGUAUUGUGAAUUAUUUUGACUGCUAUUUAAUUCUUUUCUUUAAGACUUCUACAGUAAAGGCUACGUAAGUCAGAACUCUUCAUGAAGACGCUCGGAAAGAGGGAAAUAAAUUAUAGCACGAAAGAGUCGGGUCCGAUCCGGGCUCGCUCCUCCUCCUGGCUGUCCUCGGUUCAGUUCCACCUCUGGUUGAGAGAAAUGACACAGAUGACUUGUGAAGUGUUGACUCAGUCGCGAGUGGUCGACUCUUCAGGCGUAAAAGAAAGAAAGAAAAGAAAAAAAAAGAAAAAUGGCUGUGUUUGAUGCGUCAUUUUCCGAGUCGGUGGCAUGAGCAGCACAGAUGGCGACGGUCAGAUUCUCUCUCUCUCACUCACUCCAGCUGGCCGAGAUAUUCAUGAGUGAAAAUACGACAACAGUCUGUCUUGAGUAUCCUCAAAUGAAUUUGGUGGAGUCUCUUUUGCUGAUGAGGACCUCCAGGAGCCGCAGCUUUGCUUUAAUGUGCUUGUAUUCGUUGUACUCCGCUGCUAACGGGGAUCGAUCUUCCUUCUGCACGUUUCUAUGGCAACGAGAUGUGGGCAUAAGACAACAUUUGUAAAAGAAAAAGGAGACUGUUGCGCUGUCAUUCUCAGAGUGGAGGUUGGACAGCCUCAUGUCUGUCGUGUGCUUGGAUGGCGAGAGCUCGUCCACCGGGGAAAUGAAACCGUCCUCGUCCAAGUGGUCCAGGAAGCCCAGCAUGCUGAGGUCGGGGCGCACGGUGACCGUGAACUGUGUCUUUGAGUCUGCGUCGUCCUCAGAGCCGUCCUCCUCCUCCUGCAGGAGGACAAUAGAAGGGUUAGUGAUGAGACGAGUGCAGGUUCUGGACCAGUCCUCCGGGCUUUAAUGCUUCAGUGCAUCAGGGUCGAGCAGUGUUAGUCAUCAUCAUCAUCAUCAUCAGUAGUAGUUUAAAUCAUUACAGUACAGCAGCAAAAGUCACGUCAUUGGUCCUGGACAGGGUUCUGGUCAGUACUCAUUAGUACAUAAAUAUUUGGAUUUGAUGAGUAGAGUGGUAUGCAGUCCACUCAAAAAUAUUUAAAAAAAACAACCUGCAGUAAUUUGGAACAGCCAGAAAUAUGGUUAAAAACACUGGGGGUCGUGAUUCAGUCCUGCUGCACCUGUUAUUAAAGCUAUCACAUCUGGAAAAAAUCAUCACAGUUCACUGCACCAUGGGUCUUGUUUUUGAAGCUUUGACCUUCAGUUGGAGUCCAAACAGGUGGACCAGGUUAAUUUAUACUUAACUUGAAUAUAUGUAUACAUGAAAUUAUAUGAAUUAAAACCAAUUGAAUUAAAUAUUUUUGUUUUUUUAGCACUAGUCCAGAAGUCUUUUUUAUUUGUAAUUGCAGCUGUACCAUAAUUACUGUAGCCAAAGGUGAAAAAAAAAAAACAAGACCCACGUUGAUCAAACACCUACUUCUACAUUCAUUAUUCAAACCUGCUACUGAUUCAACGUCUCUACAGAUGCUAGUGGCGAGAAACAGGUAGACACUCAAUCAACGCUCAAGCAGCACUCAGGUUCAUUAGAGGGAAAUUGUAACAAAAUGCCGGACAGUUUGAUAAAGAGCAGGAGGCUGGCAGCUGGUCGUCAAAGCAACCGCAGCUCUUCACCUUUAUAUCAUCGAAGAAGAGCGAGGUUUCACCCUCGAUAAUGGGCUGCAGGAGGGGCCCGCGGCGCUUGCUGGAGGGAGAGCCCUGUGGUGAUGUUCGACAAGGAGGCGUUAAACCACGCUCUGGUGUUCACACAACUUUUCUCUAAGCACCGUCCUAGCAUCAUCGAGGUCCAACAGCAAGUUUCAAUAACUAACCUGCUGCAUUUGUACGUUCAAAUGACAGUUACCGUAAUUACCCUAAAAGAAAAUCUGUCUAACUACUGUAUUCUACUGUAGUUGGUAAACUACAGUAACAGGAAAAACACAGGUAAAUUAUAAAAAUUAGUAAUGUUUAACAUAUAU